rnacentral:rRNA from 1 species
GACGAGUCGAGUAGUUUGGGAAUGCUGCUCUAAAUGGGAGGUAUAUUUCUUCUAAAGCUAAAUACUGGCCAGAGACCGAUAGCGCACAAGUAGAGUGAUCGAAAGAUGAAAAGCACUUUGAAAAGAGGGUUAAAUAGCACGUGAAAUUGUUGAAAGGGAAGCGUUUAUCACCAGACUUUUUCUAGGGGGAUCAUCCGGUGUUCUCACCGGUGCACUUCCCCUG